GGUGUUCGGGUUGUCAUGCCAAUGGCACUGCCCGGUAGCUAAAUGCGGAAGAGAUAAGUGCUGAAAGCAUCUAAGCACGAAACUUGCCCCGAGAUGAGUUCUCCCUGACUCCUUGAGAGUCCUGAAGGAACGUUGAAGACGACGACGUUGAUAGGCCGGGUGUGUAAGCGCAGCGAUGCGUUGAGCUAACCGGUACUAAUGAACCGUGAGGCUUAACCUUACAACGCCGAAGGUGUUU
rnacentral:rRNA from 1 species